rnacentral:lncRNA from 1 species
UAUUAACUUUUCCUCUCUUUUUUUCCUCUCUCUUUUUUUUUUAAUUUGCCUUUCCGGGGGGUCAAAAAUGUCUGCCCGGAUCGUGUCCAUUGUUCCCCUUGCUCCCCGGCACUGCGUUCAUCUCUCUGUCUUAUUCAAUCCAUCUCGUCUUGAUUCAAUUCCAUUCCGAUGUUUUUUUUUCUUUCCUUUUUAUCGGUAGUGAUUCUUUUUACAGUUGGUGAUGCUGUGUUUGAUUUCUUAUAAAUGGAUAUGUGGUUCUGUUAGGUUUGUCGAAGGAUUGUAUAAUUUGUUUACGACAUAUUCCCUUCGGUUUUUAAUACUCUCAAAAGUUCUUGGCUUUUGAUUAAACGGGCUUUUGCAAAUUUGCUAUUAU